rnacentral:rRNA from 1 species
AUUGAACGCUGGCGGCAGGCCUAACACAUGCAAGUCGAGCGGAUUUAGAGAGCUUGCUCUGUAAAUGCGGCGGACGGGUGAGUAAUGCGCAGGAAUUUGCCCAGCAGUGGGGGAUAGCCCGGAGAAAUCCGGAUUAAUACCGCAUAUACCCUACGGGGGAAAGAGGGCCUCUCCUUGGAAGCUCUUGCUGUUGGAUGAGCCUGCGUCGGAUUAGCUAGUUGGUAGGGUAAAGGCCUACCAAGGCGACGAUCCGUAGCUGGUCUGAGAGGAUGAUCAGCCACACUGGAACUGAGACACGGUCCAGACUCCUACGGGAGGCAGCAGUGGGGAAUAUUGGACAAUGGGCGCAAGCCUGAUCCAGCCAUGCCGCGUGUGUGAAGAAGGCUCUAGGGUUGUAAAGCACUUUAAGUUGGGAGGAAAGGUUGAAGUUUAAUACGCUUUAGCUGUGACGUUACCAACAGAAUAAGCACCGGCUAACUCCGUGCCAGCAGCCGCGGUAAUACGGAGGGUGCAAGCGUUAAUCGGAAUUACUGGGCGUAAAGCGCGCGUAGGUGGUUAGGUAAGUUGGAUGUGAAAGCCCCGGGCUUAACCUGGGAACUGCAUUCAAAACUGCCUAGCUAGAGUACGAUAGAGGGGGGUAGAAUUUCAGGUGUAGCGGUGAAAUGCGUAGAGAUCUGAAGGAAUACCAGUGGCGAAGGCGGCCCCCUGGAUUGAUACUGACACUGAGGUGCGAAAGCGUGGGUAGCAAACAGGAUUAGAUACCCUGGUAGUCCAUGCCGUAAACGAUGUCAACUAGCCGUUGGAAGACUUGAUCUUUUAGUGGCGCAGCUAACGCAAUAAGUUGACCGCCUGGGGAGUACGGCCGCAAGGUUAAAACUCAAAUGAAUUGACGGGGGCCCGCACAAGCGGUGGAGCAUGUGGUUUAAUUCGACGCAACGCGAAGAACCUUACCUACUCUUGACAUCCUCAGAACUUAGCAGAGAUGCUUUGGUGCCUUCGGGAACUGAGUGACAGGUGCUGCAUGGCUGUCGUCAGCUCGUGUUGUGAAAUGUUGGGUUAAGUCCCGUAACGAGCGCAACCCUUGUCCUUAUUUGCCAGCACGUAAUGGUGGGAACUCUAAGGAGACUGCCGGUGACAAACCGGAGGAAGGUGGGGACGACGUCAAGUCAUCAUGGCCCUUACGAGCGGGGCUACACACGUGCUACAAUGGCCAGGACAAACGGUUGCAACCCCGCGAGGGCAAGCUAAUCUGAGAAACCUGGUCGUAGUCCGGAUCGCAGUCUGCAACUCGACUGCGUGAAGUCGGAAUCGCUAGUAAUCGUGAAUCAGAAUGUCACGGUGAAUACGUUCCCGGGCCUUGUACACACCGCCCGUCACACCAUGGGAGUGGAUUGCACCAGAAGUAGCUAGCUUAACCUUCGGGAGGGCGGUUACCACGGUGUGGUUCAUGACUGGGGUGAAGUCGUAACAAGGUAGCCCUAGGGGAACC